AAGGGGUUGGGACAGGCAAACUAAGUCAACCAGCAUUGUCCCAGCAGUUGGGGUGCACAGAACAGAGCUCCAGCACAGGUUGAGGUGGACCUCAGAGGAACAGCACUGUUUGCUACUGUACUAGGGAAGAUUGAAGACGGCAGGAACCAUGAGGGGCCUCUGUCUUGUUUCUCUGGCUGUGCUGCUAUACCCAAAGUGCUCCCUAAGCCUGCAGUGCUACACUUGCAUGGAGAUCCAGGGCUCCUCUGCAGAAUGCCUACGUAGCUCAUGCCCAGGAGUGUGCUUCAAAACCAACAUGAGCAUAACCACACCGACCGCAGAAAAGACCAGUGUACAUUUCAAGGGAUGUGCCCUUACCUGUGACUCAGUCUCAACUUCUAUCCAGGACUCUGCCAAUAGUAUGCUGAAUCUAUACUCUCCAGGCACCAGUAUCCAUAUGGACGAUGUGUACUGCUGUGAAAAGAACUUCUGCAAUGGGGGCUCCCGCCUCCAGACCCUGGCCAGUGCUGGGUUCCUACUCCUCAGCCUGGGGUCUAUACUCCUCUGUACCCUCCUGUGAACAACUCUUCCUCCUGCCCCCACACACACUUGGAGGGCUAAAUCCACAGGUAGCUGGCUUCCUCUUACACACACAGGUACACACAGCACCCAGGCACACGCACGUUCACUCACACCCACCAUACUCAGCAAACAAGCUGUGCUGGCUCUCUAUUGGGCCAGUGCAGACAUGGGGGGGUAGGCUUCCUGCCCACCCACUUGGCCCCCAGCAGCCCCAGCUGUCCUACUAAGCCCACAAACCUGCUGUAUUUGCAAACACUAUCAGUUAACUGUUGGCCCCAGGGUAAAUACUGCCAGUGCGCACAAUAGAAAAUAAAGACUCCCCA